CCUGGCCUUGAACUCUUUAGUCAGACUUAUGCUCUAUUUACUCUAAAGCGCGGAUGAGGAAGGGAAAAAAAUUUAUAGUGGAAAAUUAUCUUUGGAGGAAGAGAAGAGAAAGGGUGAAGAAAUCUCUUCUUUUGCAUGUAUAAUUUUGUGAGUUAAAAAGAGUACAUGCGUCAUUUUUUUUGGUAUAUGGUGUAAUUUUAUGAAUGAAAAGGAGUACAUGCAUCAUUUUUUUUCAUCCGUUGUUUUCCAUCCGAUUUUGAGGUGAUCGAUUUUGGUUCCAAAAUCAUCCGUUGAUGGAUUGCUCUUCUCUUCCAUCUGAAAAUUUUAAUGAAGUAAACGACGAAAACUUUUCCUUAGUUUUGAUUUCCGCUCUCCCAAGUAAACUCACCAUUAGUAAAAGUUACUAAAAACAGUGACAAGAGUGAGUGCUUGAGGUUUUGUCUUAUUAAUUCUGGAGGUAGAUGGUCUUCUUAUAUGCUUACCGGGUAGACAAGAGUGAGUAAUUGUGAAACUACUAGUGAAUGUUGAUUCAAGUUUCAUAUGACAAGUCAAAGUGUAGUCAGUGUCUCAUAGAGUCGGUAGGUUUGUAUUCAAUACACUAGUUUUUUAAUCGAUAAAUCAUAUUAUUUGUAUUUAUGAUCGUUUCACUAUUGGUUUUGCGUGUUUUUUUUUGCCACUGUCUUAGAUCCGAAUCAUGUCCCUCUUUUCUUUUCUCACUUGUGUUUCAUGCUCAUUGGAGAUCGCACUCUUUGCUUCAGUAUCGUUUUUAAGAACUCGAGCAGGCACAACUCGAUCUUGCUGUGGAAGAAGAAGAAGAGAAUGGGGCGGCUCAAGAUGAGGCAGAGAUCAAAGUAGUCCUGCAGUGGUGAUGGUAGGCAAAUCUGCAUCAGUUCAUUCUCCACAUGCUUUUGGAAGUGUGUUUUGGUAAAGAAAGAGAGCUUCGAGUGGUGUUUUCUAGUUGCUUUAGUUUAUUGUUAGGGAAAUUAAAAUAUUAUGCUUGUAGCAUUUGAUGAUUUAGACCAUUUUGCAUUAAGGGGAAAA